rnacentral:rRNA from 1 species
CGGACGGGUGAGUAACACGUGGAUAACCUACCUAUAAGACUGGGAUAACUUCGGGAAACCGGAGCUAAUACCGGAUAAUAUAUUGAACCGCAUGGUUCAAUAGUGAAAGACGGUUUUGCUGUCACUUAUAGAUGGAUCCGCGCUGCAUUAGCUAGUUGGUAAGGUAACGGCUUACCAAGGCAACGAUGCGUAGCCGACCUGAGAGGGUGAUAGGCCACACUGGAACUGAGACACGGUCCAGACUCCUACGGGAGGCAGCAGCC